CUUAGUGGCGGACGGGUGAGUAACGCGUGGGGAACCUGCCCUGUACAGGGGGAUAACACUUAGAAAUAGGUGCUAAUACCGCAUAAGCGCACAGUAUCGCAUGAUACAGUGUGAAAAACUCCGGUGGUACAGGAUGGACCCGCGUCUGAUUAGCUGGUUGGCGGGGUAACGGCCCACCAAGGCGACGAUGCGUAGGGGUUCUGAGAGGAAGGUCCCCCACACUGGUACUGAGACACGGACCAGACUCCUACGGAAGGCAGCAG
rnacentral:rRNA from 1 species